rnacentral:piRNA from 1 species
UAGUGGUGUCAUAAGGUGACUAGGCCCA